rnacentral:rRNA from 1 species
GAUGAACGCUGGCGGCGUGCCUAAUACAUGCAAGUCGAGCGAACGGACGAGAAGCUUGCUUCUCUGAUGUUAGCGGCGGACGGGUGAGUAACACGUGGAUAACCUACCUAUAAGACUGGGAUAACUUCGGGAAACCGGAGCUAAUACCGGAUAAUAUUUUGAACCGCAUGGUUCAAAAGUGAAAGACGGUCUUGCUGUCACUUAUAGAUGGAUCCGCGCUGCAUUAGCUAGUUGGUAAGGUAACGGCUUACCAAGGCAACGAUGCAUAGCCGACCUGAGAGGGUGAUCGGCCCCCACGGAACUGGGGCACGGUCCAGACUCCUACGGGAGGCAGCAGUAGGGAAUCUUCCGCAAUGGGCGAAAGCCUGACGGAGCAACGCCGCGUGAGUGAUGAAGGUCUUCGGAUCGUAAAACUCUGUUAUUAGGGAAGAACAUAUGUGUAAGUAACUGUGCACAUCUUGACGGUACCUAAUCAGAAAGCCACGGCUAACUACGUG